GCGUUGGUGGUUCUCAUGGUUCUGUACGUGCUUCGUCUACUGGAGGUGUCUACUUGGGGGUAGUUUCUGAUCGUUCAUGUUCGCGUCCACGGUCUACUGUGUUCGGGCGGCGGCGAGGUGACCGGGCAGUUGAGCCUUUAUUGGAUCUCCCUUCUAUUGCUUCUUCUCAUAAUGGUGUGUGGUUUGCAUUAUUGUUUAUAUUGUUUUUGUAAUUUUCUACUACUUAGUUGUUGUAUUGUGAUGUGAUGACUAAUUAUUUACGUGUUGUUUUUUUAGAAGAUGGAUUUGCAUCUUUGUGUGCUCGGGAGGCACGUCGCCGUCGACAAGAAAUCCGUAUGGGAAAGCGACCUGUUGAUUGUACUCAGGGUUGGUUUACACUUAGGUUUUUAGUGUACUUUUUU
rnacentral:lncRNA from 1 species